rnacentral:tRNA from 1 species
AAAAAUUUAGUUAAAAUUAUAACAUUAGUUUGUCAAACUAAAAUUAUUUAUAAAAUAAUUUUUU